UUGAAUAUAGUCAAAAUUCAACAACUGCUCUAUCUAUACUAUUAUGCCUUACAAAAAUACUAAACAUAUUAAAUAUGCAACUAGCUAGCCAUCUGGUACAACUUUUCUUGUGAAUUCACAAGCCUCUUCAGCUCAACGUAUGGCUCAUUUAAUCCACCACCACAAACCUGCCACAAAAGCAUACAAAGAGCCAACCGAGAAUAGCAACAAAAUAGCUAUAAUAACAUCAUUUAAAAGUGAUUCAGAAAAAGUAAGCUAGAUUUCAGAGUCUUACAGUGAGAAGCUGAUUUAAGGUGUGUUCACGGUCAUCAUUACUCACCAUUAAUCAGCAGACAAAUUAAAUCAUCUUUUAAGAAUUUGAUUCCAAUUCAAAUACUCCAAUGCCCCUAAGUCAUUUGUAUUGUUCAUACUGGAUAAAAUAAGCAUAUCUCUAUUUCUUAUACUCAUAUUUAUAUCGUCACCAGACUUCAUACACAUGCAACACACAAGAUAUUAGUUAUCGUGCAUGAAAUUAAAUACAUGAGGCUUGCACCAUAGUUUUUGUGUGAUAUGUGUGUGUGAGAGAGAGAUAGAAAGAGAGAGAGAGUCAUGCAAAACAUUUUGCACAGACGAUAUAACCACACGCACUGAUCAUGAAAGCAAGAAACAAAUUGAUUAGCAUUAGGAAUAGACAGAGAGAGAAGAUAUGUACAAUAUUUUCCACUUGCCUUAUCUUGACUGCUAAAUGGGGUUAUCACACAUUAUAAAUGAAUGGCUUUAACUCAUUAUCCAAUCAAGUUAAUUGAGUUUUUAAUUAUACUUUUUUUUAACGUAAAGGAUAAAUCCCAUAUAUGAUACCAUCUAAUUAGAUCCAUUUCAAACACGCAUGAGAAAAAGCAUGACUCUAUAGAAAUCCAGAAAAUAGAUGUUUAAGAGGUAACCCAUAACACACCCUUUUUAAACUGAACAGUAGGAUACAAAUAUUUAAAGACUAAUGGAAUUAAUGUCUUCUGGAUUUCUGUAUAUAGACAUACCUUGAAACAGAAAGAAGCCAAAUCUUUGUGCCUAAAUUACUUAAUGCAUUGGCCAUUUUAUAUUUUUCCAUCACAAAGUUUGGAGAGACAGUCAGAUACCUGCACAUACAAGCAUAAACAACGCAUCAGAGGGAAAAGCUUAUUGAACAAGUAAUUAACUAAGCAACUUUCAUAACAAGAAAUUUCUGACUCCAGAUCCCCAUGAAUUUUGUAGAUAACACCCAUGUUGCAUUAUGCACACAUGAGUCUUUAUAUAUGAUCAUAAUCUAUAUAAUAACAGCUAAAAAUACAGGUAUUAACAAUCCUUCUUUUUUCUUCAGGGGUAUAGCAAAAGUCACUAGUGUCAUUUUGAGCACCUCACUCUAACAUAUAUACCAGCAUAUUCUAAAGCCAGUGUUGGAAAGAAAAGAAUUAGAAAGCAAUACAAUCCUAAUGACAUAUGCAGGCGACAUGCCACUUAAAUUUCUAAUAUCUCUCUUUGGAGAGUAAUUCUAAAAAUUACAGUCAACAUCCAACAACACAGACACAGAAAAACUAAAGUUAAAGAAAUAUAUAUAAAAGCCAAAAGACCAGACAAAUUGAAUAAAACCACAAGUGCAGAAUUACUAACCACUGAUCUUGGAUCAAAUAUAUGCCUAGAAAGAUCAGACAGCAUGGGAAACUAAUAAUGCUCAGCCAAUUUGCAAGUUUCAUCUACUAGGCUAUCUACAACAAAGAACAUAUCGAUAUAAGGCCCUGAAAAUGAGAAGAAAUAAAUUCAUCAGCAGAGAGUUUGAUUUAAAUAAGAAAAUAAAUAAUAGUGAACAACUAUGGCUACACACGAUGUUUCUCCUUUGAAAAAGAACAGAUUUAUAUAAAAUCCACAAAAUCAUUCCAAAUUAGUAAUACUUGAAAUCAUACCUAUAAAGACGAAUCUCUGAUAUGUAUAUGAGACCAUCUCCAUCGUCUCCACUUAUUUUAUUUCGCAUCUCCAUUGCCGCCACUUUCUUAUUCGAUCGACUGUAUUGGAACUUAUUAACAAGAAGAUCUAAUGAACCGAAUACUAGUUAGAGACCUGAUUUGUUUAUCAACCUAUAU
rnacentral:lncRNA from 1 species